rnacentral:rRNA from 1 species
UAAUACGGAGGACCCGAGCGUUAUCCGGAUUUAUUGGGUUUAAAGGGUGCGUAGGCGGGAGAAUAAGUCAGAGGUGAAAGCCAGCAGCUCAACUGUUGAAUUGCCUUUGAUACUGUUUUUCUUGAGUAUGGUUGAAGUGGGCGGAAUGUGACAUGUAGCGGUGAAAUGCGUAGAUAUGUCCCAGAACACCGAUUGCGAAGGCAGCUCACUAAGCCAUCACUGACGCUGAUGCACGAAAGCGUGGGGAGCAAACAGGAUUAGAUACCCUGGUAGUCCACGCCGUAAACGAUGAUGACUCGACGUAAGCGAUACACUGUUUGCGUCUAAGCGAAAGCGUUAAGUCAUCCACCUGGGAAGUACGAUCGCAAGGUUG